rnacentral:rRNA from 1 species
UACAGAGGGUGCAAGCGUUGUUCGGAAUCAUUGGGCGUAAAGGGCGUGUAGGCGGUUUGUUAAGUCAUGUGUGAAAUCCCUCGGCUCAACCGGGGAACGACGCAUGAAACUGGCAAGCUAGAGUACCAAAGAGGGCGGUGGAAUUCCCGGUGUAGCGGUGAAAUGCGCAGAUAUCAGGAGGAACACCGGUGGCGAAGGCGGGACUCUGGGCCGAUACUGACGCUGAGGAGCGAAAGCGUGGGGAGCAAACAGG